GACGAACGCUGGCGGCGUGCUUAACACAUGCGAGUCGAACGGAAAGGCCUCUUUCGGGGGGUACUCGAGUGGCGAACGGGUGAGUAACACGUGAGUAACCUGCCCUUGACUUUGGGAUAACUUCAGGAAACUGGGGCUAAUACCGGAUAGGAGCUCCUGCUGCAUGGUGGGGGUUGGAAAGUUUCGGCGGUUGGGGAUGGACUCGCGGCUUAUCAGCUUGUUGGUGGGGUAGUGGCUUACCAAGGCUUUGACGGGUAGCCGACCUGAGAGGGUGACCGGCCACAUUGGGACUGAGAUACGGCCCAGACUCCUACGGGAGGCAGCAGUGGGGAAUAUUGCACAAUGGGUGGAAGCCUGAUGCAGCAACGCCGUGUGCGGGAUGACGGCCUUCGGGUUGUAAACCGCUUUCGCUCAUGACGAAGCUUUGUGUGACGGUAGUGGGUAAAGAAGCACCGGCUAACUACGUG
rnacentral:rRNA from 1 species